GCAAGGCUAAAACUCAAAUGAAUUGACGGGGGCCCGCACAAGCGGUGGAGCAUGUGGUUUAAUUCGAUGCAACGCGAAGAACCUUACCUACCCUUGACAUCCAGAGAAUCUGUUAGAGAUAAUUGAGUGCCUUCGGGAACUCUGAGACAGGUGCUGCAUGGCUGUCGUCAGCUCGUGUUGUGAAAUGUUGGGUUAAGUCCCGUAACGAGCGCAACCCUUAUCCUUAGUUGCCAGCACGUAAUGGUGGGAACUCUAGGGAGACUGCCGGUGAUAAACCGGAGGAAGGUGGGGACGACGUCAAGUCAUCAUGGCCCUUAUGGGUAGGGCUACACACGUGCUACAAUGGCCAGUACAGAGGGCUGCAAACUUGCGAGAGUAAGCAAAUCCCAGAAAGCUGGUCUUAGUCCGGAUUGGAGUCUGCAACUCGACUCCAUGAAGUUGGAAUCGCUAGUAAUCGCGAAUCAGAACGUCGCGGUGAAUACGUUCCCGGGCCUUGUACACACCGCCCGUCACACCAUGGGAGUGGGUUGCAAAAGAAGUGGGUAGACUAACCUUCGGGAGGUCGCUCACCACUUUGUGGUUCAUGACUGGGGUGAAGUCGUAACAAGGUA
rnacentral:rRNA from 1 species